AUAUAUCCCUGCCUGCACCACAGACCACACUACUACUGCACUAGGCCGGACAUCCAAACUAACUUGCAAGCUAAGCGCGUGUUCCGUACUACGACCGAUAGAGCUAGAGCUGCAGACCGCAGAUGGGGAGGUCCCCGUGCUGCUGCCACGACGCCGGCGUGAAGAAGGGCCCAUGGACGGAGGAGGAGGACCGCACCCUGGUGGAGCACAUCAAAAGGCACGGCGGGCACGUCAGCAGCUGGCGCGACCUGCCCAAGGCCGCCGGGCUGAACCGCUGCGGGAAGAGCUGCCGCCUCCGGUACGGUGGACCAACUACCUCCGCCCCGACAUCAAGCGCGGCAACUUUACCGCCGACGAGGAGAGCCUCAUCAUCCACCUCCACGCCCAGCUCGGCAACAGGUGGUCGACGAUCGCGACGCACCUGGACGGGCGGACGGACAACGAGAUCAAGAACUACUGGAAUACACACAUCAGAAAGAAGCUGGUGCGCAUGGGCAUCGACCCCGUCACGCACCAACGUCUGCCCCCGGAAGACAUUAUCGCCUCCCCUAUGGCGAUCCUCUCGGCGGCGGCGAGCCUGGGAGGCCUCCACAGCGCUCUGAUGCAGGUGCAGGCGCUGCAGCUUCUGCUGCAGGCCGUCAAUAACGACGGAGGAAGAAGCGCUGCUGCCGGUGGUCUCAUCAUGCCUGACAUCCUCAACGCGGCCGCAGAUAACGCCAUCCUUAUUAAUAACGCGAGUCGUAGUAGCGUCGUCCCGAGCUUACAGGACCAGACGAACCUCCCCGCCGCGUCUCACGCGAACUACUACGGUUCACCUGAUCACCAUCUCAGCAGCAACAUCGCGAGCUUUGCAGAUCAGCAGCACGACGACGCUUCGGCUCCGGUGGUCGGCUGCGCGUACGCGGAGCCGCUGGCUGCUGCAUUGGUGUCUGCCGCUUAUCCGCAGGAAGUGGCAGCCGCAGCUGAGGGGUGGCCGGUGCAGGGUUUCGCCGAGCUUCUGUCGGGGCCCAUCGAGAUGCAGGUGCAGACGAAGGCGAGGACGUGCUCCCUCGAGGAGGACGACCAAGAUGAUUUCUGGAAGGACAUGCUGCUAGAGAGCAGCAGGUUGCCGCUAUGAAAUUUCCACAUAUAUGCGUGUGGAGACGGAUGGAUCGGUAUUCGGUGGUGCAUGUCUGCUUGUACAAAAUCGUGUGAUUAUCUUGAUAUUUUGAUUAAAUUAAUUAGCUCCGUAUGUGUAUUAUCCAUGGUCCGAUCGAGUUUCUCACAGAUAUCUCGUGGGAACUUGUUUUAGUUAGAGUAGGAAGUUAGCUGUAUGUAGUAGAUCGGUAUAUGGGAUUUGUGUUAUAGAUUACAUUGUUUACAGAGUGAAGUUUGAAAUAAAAAGAUGAGUAGUGAAUGAGAUAGUAUAGCUGUCCGAGAUAUUGUAAUAAGCCCAC